UACGAAGGGGGCUAGCGUUGCUCGGAAUCACUGGGCGUAAAGGGUGCGUAGGCGGGUUUUUAAGUCAGGGGUGAAAUCCUGGAGCUCAACUCCAGAACUGCCUUUGAUACUGAAGAUCUCGAGUCCGGGAGAGGUGAGUGGAACUGCGAGUGUAGAGGUGAAAUUCGUAGAUAUUCGCAAGAACACCAGUGGCGAAGGCGUCUCACUGGCCCGGUACUGGCGCUGAGGCACGAAAGCGUGGGGAGCAAACAGG
rnacentral:rRNA from 1 species